rnacentral:rRNA from 1 species
GAUGAACGCUGACCGAAUGCUUAACACAUGCAAGUCUUUGGCGAAGCUGUGCUUGCUCCGCCUAGCCAAGGCGGACGGGUGGGUAACGCGUAAGGAACUUGCCCUGCAGUCAGGGAUAACAGACGGAAACGACUGAUAAGACCUGGUAAAGUCAGGCGGACUCAUGUCCAGCCUGAUGAAAAGAGGUGCUGCAGGUGAGCCGUGCGUUCUAUUAGCUUGUUGGUGGGUUAACGGCCCACCAAGGCGAUGAUAGGUAGCCGGCCUGAGAGGGUGGACGGCCACAAGGGGACUGAGAGACGGCCCUGACUACUACGGGAGGCAGCAGUGGGGAAUAUUGGACAAUGGGGGCAACCCUGAUCAAGCUAUUCUGUGUGCACGAUGAAGGUUUUCGGAUUGUAAAGUGCUUGCAGGGGGGAAGAAAAAAAUGACGGUACCUGCAGAAGAAGCGACGGCUAAAUACGUG